rnacentral:rRNA from 1 species
CAGCAGCCGCGGUAAUACCGGCGGCCCGAGUGGCGGUCACUAUUAUUGGGCUUAAAGCGUCCGUAGCCGGGUUGGGAAGUCCUCCGGGAAAUCUGGCCGCUUAACGGUCAGAAUGCCGGAGGAUACUCCCAGCCUAGGGAGCGGGAGAGGCCGAGGGGAUUCCCGGAGGAGGGGGGAAAUCCUAUAAUCCCGGGAGGACCACCUGGGGCGAAGGCGCUCGGCUGGAACGCGUCCGACGGUGAGGGACGAAGGCCAGGGGAGCAAACCGGAUUAGAUACCCGGGUAGUCCUGGCUGUAAACGAUGCGGACUUUGUGUCGGACAAGCUAUGAGCUUGUCCGGUGCCGGAGGGAAACCGUUAAGUCCGCCGCCUGGGGAGUACGGCCGCAAGGCUGAAACUUAAAGGAAUUGGCGGG